GGGGCAGAGGGAGAAAAGAUUUUUUUGGCAUAUUUUUACCCGGGAAAAUUUUUUACAAUCAAUAGCGGAGGAAAAGAAACUAACAAGGAUUCCCCUAGUAACUGCGAGUGAAGCGGGAAAAGCUCAAAUUUAAAAUCUGGUGGUCUUUUGGCCAUCCGAGUUGUAAUUUAGAGAAGCGUCUUCCGCGCUGGACCGUGCACAAGUCUCCUGGAAUGGAGCGUCAUAGAGGGUGAGAAUCCCGUCUUUGGCAUGGAUCCCAGGGCUUCUGUGAUGCGCUCUCAAAGAGUCGAGUUGUUUGGGAAUGCAGCUCAAAAUGGGUGGUGAACUCCAUCUAAAGCUAAAUAUUGGCGAGAGACCGAUAGCGAACAAGUACCGUGAGGGAAAGAUGAAAAGCACUUUGGAAAGAGAGUGAAACAGUACGUGAAAUUGUUGAAAGGGAAACGCUUGAAGUCAGUCGCGUCGACCGAGACUCAGCCUCGCCUUGGCUUGGUGUACUUCUCGGCUUGACGGGUCAGCAUCAAUUUUGAUCCUUGGAUAAUGGCAAGGGAAAGGUAGCACCUUUACAGGUGUGUUAUAGUCCUCUGUCGGAUGCAAGGGUCGGGAUUGAGGAACUCAGCACGCACCUUUAGGUGUCGGGGCCUUGGCCUACGUUACGUGCUUAGGAUGCUGGCAUAAUGGCUUUAAACGACCCGUCUUGAAACACGGACCAAGGAGUCUAACAUGCCCGCGAGUGUUCGGGUGGAAAACCCGUGCGCGUAAUGAAAGUAAAAGUUGGGACCUCUGUCGUGGAGGGCACCGACGCCCGGACCAGACCUUCUGUGACGGCUCUGCGGUAGAGCGUGUAUGUUGGGACCCGAAAGAUGGUGAACUAUGCCUGAAUAGGGUGAAGCCAGAGGAAACUCUGGUGGAGGCUCGUAGCGAUUCUGACGUGCAAAUCGAUCGUCAAAUUUGGGUAUAGGGGCGAAAGACUAAUCGAA
rnacentral:rRNA from 1 species